rnacentral:lncRNA from 1 species
AGGUUUAAUACCUUUUAUCUUAUCUUGCAAAGUUAGCAUCAGUCGAAUGAAAAGAUCUUCUGACCAUUCUUACUUCUGUAGAAGGUAAAAUGAGACUUAGCUUUUGGUAGCAUCCUGUUGAAAAGACGUUCCCCGUUAUUUUUACGUCUGUGAGUCCUCCAGCAAUAAUCAGAUGUGCAAUCGAUUAUAAAGAUCUACAUGAUGUCCACUUUUAAGAUUUCUCUUUUGUGAUUUAGAAGUACUUGUGGCAUGCUAAACUAACACCAUAAGUUAAACUUAAAUAUUCAUUCUGCAAUCUUGUUACAGAAAAUCAGUCAUAAUAAUAACAAAGAUGCUGCUGAUAGAAGAGUUGAUAGAAACAACCUAAAAUUUGAGAUCUCAGAAUUGCAGGGCGUGAGCAAUGACUGAAGCUUUUCUUUUUGGAUAUAGUCUUACAGACAGUAAAAAAGGUAUUGUAGUUUCACUUUUUGAUUCUUGUAGUAUCUCUUAUUUUUUACAAGCUUGAUAGGUCAUUCAUCCAGGUUAUUUGUGCAGCCUUUUCAUAGCUUUUGACUUAACACAAUAUUAUCUUUUAUUAAUUUUCUAAAAAAAUACUUACUUGGUAGUAAUUUAUUGUACAACAUGUUACACUUCUCUAUUUGUAGUAAAUUCAUUUUAAGUAUUGAACGAAUUAUCCUGCUUGGCUACAUCAUUUAAAUGACAGGUUCUGAUAUAUUCGUCAGGGAGUUAGAAAAAAGGAAGCUCGUGAUAUCAUAACCGGGUAACGUGAUCAAUCUUCAGAAAUAGCUAGAUAGUUGUAGUGCAGAUACCAUCAAGCUUAAUUUUGUAUUUUCUUUACAUAUGACUUUAAGUAGCCAUGCUUUACUGGGUUUUAUUAUGUGUUUGUCACCUAAUGCUUUAAGUAGAUAUAG